rnacentral:lncRNA from 1 species
AGCACAGAAGACGAAGAGCUGGAAUAGAGCUCGCCUCGGCUCUGCUGGCCUUGGCUGCAGCUCUUCCAGAAACCCGGGGCGCCCACAGAAGAAUCUCUUACCUGGCUCUCUCUUCAGGGAUGACAUCAUCGGCUCACACCAGUCUUCCAGGACCACCUUCUGGAUGCCAAGGCUGCUGCUCGAGUACCUGCUGUGCACCUCUACCUCCUGAGCCAAGGAGCACGGAUUCCAGGAACCCACUACCAUACAGAGCAACUCCUUGUGGACCCCCCUGGGAUCAGGACAGCGAGGGACAAGCGACAAAGAGGAUCAUCAGUGGCCAGCUAGUUUCUCUGGGGUUCAAACCUUGAACCAGUGCCCUAGUGAGGGGGCACUGGCCAUGGCCCUUGACCUUUGCUCUGCUUGUGUCUUGAGUCUGAGCCCUUUCCUGUACAUCUGUGCUCGUGUUCAUCUGCUAGUGAACUGGAGUGCUGCCCUCCCCGAGGAGGGUCGUCCCUUGUGACUGAUCAUGCUGUCCUAACAAUGUCCUGAGCAAAAGGGUCCCUUUGGGAACCUCUCAGGAGGGGGACCCGGGUCAGGGGCGACCAGCAUCUUGCUGGCAACUCCGUGGGUGGGGUGGGGUGGGGUGCUUCCUUCUGGAAUGAGCACGUGGCUGACCCCCCAAGGCAUGUCCCCUCCCCCUCCUCCACCCACCUUCUCGGAGAUGUCCCUUUUGGGGUAGUGGGGACAUUAGGAGCAACCUCCUAGGGUUGUUGUGAGAAUUAAAUGAACUGCAGCAGCCUGAGGCAGGGCUGGGCAGAGACCUCAGCACAUGUUUGUUGAAAGGUUUGCAGGUGGAUCUAGUCCUCCCGUUCAUGGCUCAUGUGUCUCAACCAUUCUCUCGCAGACUCCUGCAGCCCCUAUGCCCAGGGCUCUCCUUGCGCCAGCCCCGGCUUCUCGAGGCCUGUCUACACUCGCUGCUUUCCUUCCUCACCUCCAAUUUCCCCUCCAACCCACUGCUUCCUGACUCGCUCUUCUCCAUCGAACGGCUCUCGCUCAGGCCUGUCGCGUCUUCCUGUGCCAUUUGCUGUUGUGCUCAGGUUCCACGAGCUGCCCAUCUCCACAGAAGAGCAGCUGGCAUUGCCCACCGGCCAUGCCGGCUGAAGAAAAGAAGACUGAGGACCCCAGGAUGCCCAGCGCGAGGACCCCAGGAAGCCCAGCGCGAGGACUCCACCCACGACGCCCAGCGCGAGGACUUCACGCACAACACGUUGCAACCCUCCUGGAUUAGGCCAAAGCCAUCAUCUGGAAUCCUGCGUGGGACCCUGGACACACGGACACAGACACCUGCCCCCAGGACCCUCCAACUGUAAAUCGAUUGGAAGCGCCCUUGUGAGCUGGGGCCUUCAAAGGGCUGAGGAGAAAAUGCAGGCCGAGAGACCAGCUUCUCAAAUAGGCUUCAAGCCUCCAUGACCUGAGCUCACCCCCUGGAAAUGUCUGGAAAACAUAAUGGGCAGGUUUUCUGUCUUCAAAGUUUCCAUCAAAACCUCUUCAAGUUCUUUAUUGUUUAGGACUGAGACACUUGGGGACAGUAAUGGGGACUUUCUUUUGUAUCUGUCUUGAAAGGCCAAAAUAUUUUUAUAUUGCUGUAGACAAAGCCACCUAUUUACAAAUGGACUCUUGUUCCGUCGUUUCCCACCAGGAAGACCGUACUAUGUUUGUGUCUCUAUGUAUUCUGGGGUCUUGAAACAGGUUUCUCAUGGGGAUGGCCAUUCACUAGAGCCCAGAGGGGCAGAAGGGGAAGUGUCUACCCUGCCAAGGGGGUCUGGGGAAGGAGGGGGGCUAGUCUCAGAUUUGCUCCUUGUAUGUCUAGGGUAAACCCUGGGAGAAUCUGGUGGUAAAAGAACAUAUGCUGUGUUUGCCCCACAUCUGCCAUUUGUGUGUGUUUCUGGGCUACGGGUUUGCACACUUUGGUGGUUAACAUGGUGGGAGGAAGUAAGAAGGGCCAAGAGGGCACGGGUGCUCUGGUUUUCCUGCUGGGAGGCUGUUUCACUGGUGUGUGUUACAUCACAUAAUGCAUGUUUAGCUGGGUGAGUGACAACAGUAUGAAGGGACAGAGAAACAAAUAGGUGUAGAAAGAGAGUCACAGAGCACACAGUCACCAUUCUGUGCCCAGGCGUUCAUUAAAUGUUCAAUAGAAUGCUGAGCUCUGAUAGACAGAGCGGGCCAUGGACACACUGGUAUUGGGUCAUCAUGGACCUAAGGAGUUUUUUUAAUUGAAGAAGGAAUCUUACAUAACAGAAGAAAGAAUAAGAAGAGCUGUCAAAACGAGCUCUGAGGUUUUUGAAGCCCCUUAAUAUAAACAGACAGACAAUGGCGUGAUCAGGAAAGGGAGAAAACAAACAAACAAACAAACAAGAUGCUUACAGAAAUACGAGAGGACGUGUGAGCAUGCAAAGAGAACCCAGCUAGGUUAGUAUCGGGGUGCUGGUGGAUCGUUAAUCCUGUCUGGGUACCCCAGCUCCAAGGGGAUGAGAGGCAGCAAGUGAGAGGACACAUAGGAAACUGUAACAAGACAGAGGCGAGCAGAUGGGGAGCUUCAGCGGAGUGUUAAGCUAGGCUUCGCAAUCUGACCACUUAACUCUCCCAGCAAAGAAAAGAAAGGCUUAAAUACUAAAAAGAAGGAAAGCUGGAAGAAAGGAUGGUAGAUGUGAAAGGCAUAGAGGAUAGAAAGCAAUAGGGAGUGGAGUGCAGGUGCUGUGGAGAGACGCUUGCAGGUGACUCAAUUCACCAGCCUGUGCAGCUGAGAAAGACAGCCAGUGACAAAGGAGAAGAAGAAAGGUAACAAUACACUCACAAAUAGGUAGAUGAAUGUAGCUGGAAGACGGGGCCUGGCUAGGGACGGGAUGAGAGGCUGUGUCAGCAGACUGGUUAAUUCCCAUCUGUGCUUCUGAGAUGGACAAUGACCCACCCGACCAAGAGACCUUUCAGGCAUCAAUAUGUCAGGGAGGGCUUCAAUGGGGCAAUGGAGGCGAGGCCCAUUAAUAGCAGAUUAUGAUGUAUCCAAUUAGGUGCACCUGCCCUCUGGAAGUGCAGAAACCAGUAUUGAAAUGGAAAGAAAGACUGAAUGGAAGUCCGAGAGUACAAAUGAAUGGAUGGGAAAAAAGAUUUGCAUUCGCUCUUAGGGGGAGGGUGCUGCUGAGCCCCAGGGUCAUCUGAUCUCCCGGAGAAUAAAAGGGCGAGGGAGUGAUAGAGAGUAACAAUAAGAUGGAGAA